rnacentral:rRNA from 1 species
AGAGUUUGAUCAUGGCUCAGGACGAACGCUGGCGGCGUGCUUUAUACAUGCAAGUCAAGGAGAACGUUUUCUUCGGAAAACUAUUAAACUGGCGAACGGGUGAGUAACGCGUAGGCAACCUGCCCUAGAGAUUGGGAUAACAUCGGGAAACCGGUGCUAAUACCGGAUAAUGCAGCGGAUCCUUCGGGAUACAGUUGUUAAAGCGGGCUUCGGCUCGCACUUUAGGAUGGGCCUGCGUCCGAUUAGCUUGUUGGUAAGGUAACGGCUUACCAAGGCAAUGAUCGGUAGCUGGUCUGAGAGGAUGAUCAGCCACACUGGGAUUGAGAUACGGCCCAGACUCCUACGGGAGGCAGCAGUAGGGAAUUUUGCGCAAUGGGGGAAACCCUGACGCAGCAACGCCGCGUGACCGAUGAAGCUUCUAGGAGCGUAAAGGUCUGUCGUAAGGGAAGAAAAGUUUGGAUGUAAAUAAUGUUCGAACCUGACGGUACCUUACAAGAAAGCACCGGCUAACUUCGUGCCAGCAGCCGCGGUAAUACGAGGGGUGCAAGCGUUGUCCGGAAUCACUGGGCGUAAAGGGUCCGUAGGCGUCUCAAAAAGUCAUUUGUUAAAUACACCGGCUUAACCGGUGAAAUGCAUUUGAAACUAUUGAGAUAGAGUAUAGGAGAGGAAAGCGGAAUUCCUGGUGUAGCGGUGACAUGCGUAGAUA